AUUUGAUGAUGUGAACAUUGUAUUUGUAACUCCCCAAAUCUUUCCAAAGCUUCAAAAAAUUCUUCCGUACGUUUUUUGUCUAAAAAUUUGAAAUUUGUUUCUUAACUU